rnacentral:rRNA from 1 species
UACGUAGGGGGCAAGCGUUGUCCGGAAUUAUUGGGCGUAAAGCGCGCGCAGGCGGGUCAUCAAGUCAGGGGUGAAAGCCCAGAGCUCAACUCUGGAACUGCCCUUGAAACUGGUGACCUUGAGUACGGGAGAGGUGAGUGGAAUUCCCAGUGUAGAGGUGAAAUUCGUAGAUAUUGGGAAGAACACCGGUGGCGAAGGCGGCUCACUGGCCCGUAACUGACGCUCAGGCGCGAUAGCGUGGGGAUCAAACAGG